UGGGGAAUAUUGGACAAUGGGCGAAAGCCUGAUCCAGCCAUGCCGCGUGAGUGAUGAAGGUCUUCGGAUCGUAAAGCUCUGUGGGAAGGGACGAAAAAUGCCGACCUAAUACGUCCGAACUUGACGGUACCUUCUUAGCAAGCACCGGCUAACUCCGUGCCAGCAGCCGCGGUAAUACGGAGGGUGCAAACGUUGCUCGGAAUCAUUGGGCGUAAAGCGCACGUAGGCGGUUCGGUAAGUCGGAUGUGAAAUCCCUCGGCUCAACCGAGGAAGGGCAUCCGAAACUGCCGAGCUUGAGUACGGAAGAGGGUCUCGGAAUUCCCGGUGUAGAGGUGAAAUUCGUAGAUAUCGGGAGGAACACCAGUGGCGAAGGCGGAGACCUGGGCCGAUACUGACGCUGAGGUGCGAAAGCGUGGGGAGCAAACAGGAUUAGAUACCCCCGUAGUCC
rnacentral:rRNA from 1 species